AUAUUUCAGACGAAAAAGGAGAUGAUGUAUCGCCGCCCCUUAGGCCAGGCCAACCUGCAUUCACGACGCCAGACGAAAAAAAAGGAGAUGAUGUAUCGCCGUCCCCUACGCCAGGCAAGCCUGCAUUCACGACGCCAGACGAAAAAGGAGAUGAUGUAUCGCCGCCCCUUAGGCCAGGCCAACCUGCAUUCACGACGCCAG